rnacentral:misc_RNA from 1 species
AACGCACGAGACCUGCGGACCUGCGGAAGGAUCAUUACUGCAUCUCCGACGGCGGGGCUCCCAGCUCAGGUCUGAAAGGCCCUUGCAGCGGGACGCCUCGACCCGUUCGGUCUCCCUUGCAAACCCCAUGUGCACCUUUGUCGGCAGAGGGCUCCUUUUAGGGCCCGAGCCGGAUCACAGACUCCAGAGUUUGAACGUAACUGCGCGGACUUUGUUUCGCCUAAAACCUUAACAACUUUC